ACAUUAAUGGGGUAGUGGUAAACUGGGUCGUUGCCAUAUUGGCGCCAUGUUCGACCUGCCAGGGGUUCGAUUCCCUCUUAAUUCA